UUUAGGUUAGAGGCUGCUUAGUAAGAGCUAAGUACAGAUCUGCUACCAGCUCCCUGGGUAGCCAUCCGUCUAAUGAGCUAACUUCUUGACCUUGCUCUAGGCCCUCUGGGUCUUUAUUUCCUUCUUCUUGUUGCUCCUCGUCAUUUGAUUUGCAUGGUUACCUGCUGCUUGUGGCGCCGCUGAUGAAGCCACAUCCGGAAAGUUUUAAUCGGCAGAGGCACGGGCGUAUAACUAGUAUUAAAACCUUGUAAUAGAAUAUGCUUGUUCGCCCCAAGCUCAUCCGAGAGAACAGGAAAUAACAUCUCUGUAUGAUAAGUUUGAAGGAGCGUACCGGCAGUGGGUAUCUCUGGAACUUAAACAUGAGCUGAAGCGGUUGCGAUUGUCAUGAGGCUCUAGGCCCUCUGGGUCUUUAUUUCCUUCUUCUUGUUGCUCCUCGUCAUUUGAUUUGCAUGGUUACCUG
rnacentral:lncRNA from 1 species